ensembl:snoRNA small nucleolar RNA SNORA2/SNORA34 family
AUGGCCCUGACUCAAAGCCAGCAGUUUUAUGAAGCUGCUGAUUUCAAACAAGAGCCUAAAGUAUCUUUCUAUGGUGUGUUGGCCAUUUGGAAGUUUAGAAAUGUAAUGGUCAAUUCAUUAGGGAGAAACAACU